AGGUUGGCUUAGAAGCAGCCAUCCUUUAAAGAAAGCGUAACAGCUCACUGGUCUAGUCGGCCUGCGCGGAAGAUUUAACGGGGCUUAAGCCGUAUACCGAAGCUGCGGCUCGAUACUUUCUUCGGAUCGUAUCGGGGGUAGGGGAGCGUUCUGUAAGCCAGUGAAGGUGCGUCGCGAGGCGUGCUGGAGGUAUCAGAAGUGCGAAUGCUGACAUGAGUAACGAUUAUGCGGGUGAAAAACCCGCACGCCAGAAGCCCAAGGUUUCCUGCGCAACGCUAAUCGGCGCAGGGUGAGUCGGCCCCUAAGGCGAGACCGAAAGGUGUAGUCGAUGGGAAACAGGUCAACAUUCCUGUACCGGCCGUAACUGCGAUGGGGUGACGGAGAAGGUUAGGCCUACCGGGCGUUGGUUGUCCCGGGGAAAGUAGGUAGGCGGGCGCUUUUGGAAAAUCCGGAGCGCCGUUAACGCCGAGAUACGAGACCACCGGCAUUGCCGGGAAGUGGCUUACACCAUGCUUCCAGGAAAAACCUCUAAGCAUCAGGUUACGGGCGACCGUACCGUAAACCGACACAGGUGGGCAGGGAGAGAAUCCUAAGGCGUUUGAGAGAACUCGGGUGAAGGAACUAGGCAAAUUGGUACCGUAACUUCGGGAGAAGGUACGCCUUUGACGGUGACGGGACUUGCUCCCUGAGCUGUCGGAGGCCGCAGUGACCAGGUGGCUGCGACUGUUUACUAAAAACAUAGCACUCUGCUAACUCGCAAGAGGAUGUAUAGGGUGUGACGCCUGCCCGGUGCCGGAAGGUUAAGUGAUCCUGUUAGCCCUUUUGGGCAAAGCUCGUGACCGAAGCCCCGGUAAACGGCGGCCGUAACUAUAACGGUCCUAAGGUAGCGAAAUUCCUUGUCGGGUAAGUUCCGACCUGCACGAAUGGCGUAACGAUGGCCACACUGUCUCCACCCGGGACUCAGUGAAAUUGAAAUUGCUGUGAAGAUGCAGUGUACCCGCGGCUAGACGGAAAGACCCCGUGAACCUUUACUACAGCUUUGUACUGGAUCUUGAGCCAGCUUGUGCAGGAUAGGUGGGAGGCUUUGAAGCGAGGACGCCAGUUCUCGUGGAGCCAACCUUGAAAUACCACCCUGGCUUGUUUGAGGUUCUAACCCAGGCCCGUUAUCCGGGUCGGGGACAGUGCAUGGUGGGUAGUUUGACUGGGGCGGUCUCCUCCCAAAGAGUAACGGAGGAGCACAAAGGUACCCUCAGCGCGGUCGGACAUCGCGCAUUGCGUGUAAAGGCAUAAGGGUGCUUGACUGCGAGACGUACAAGUCGAGCAGGGACGAAAGUCGGUCUUAGUGAUCCGGUGGUUCUGUAUGGAAUGGCCAUCGCUAAACGGAUAAAAGGUACUCCGGGGAUAACAGGCUGAUUCCUCCCAAGAGUCCACAUCGACGGAGGAGUUUGGCACCUCGAUGUCGGCUCAUCACAUCCUGGGGCUGUAGCAGGUCCCAAGGGUAUGGCUGUUCGCCAUUUAAAGUGGUACGCGAGCUGGGUUUAGAACGUCGUGAGACAGUUCGGUCCCUAUCUGCCGUGGGCGUUUGAGAAUUGAGAGGAGCUGCUCCUAGUACGAGAGGACCGGAGUGGACGUACCUCUGGUGUUCCGGUUGUCACGCCAGUGGCAUUGCCGGGUAGCUAUGUACGGAAGGGAUAACCGCUGAAAGCAUCUAAGCGGGAAGCCCACCCCAAGAUUAGGUUUCCCGGAUCUUCGGAUCCCUGAAGGGCCCUUGAAGACUACAAGGUUGAUAGGCUGGGUGUGGAAGCGCGGCAACGCGUGAAGCUAACCAGUACUAAUUGCCCGUGCGGCUUAA
rnacentral:rRNA from 1 species